AUGGGCCCAAAUGGCCCCAAAAUGGCCCCAUGUGGUCCCAAAAUGGAGCAAAUGGCACCAAAAUGGCCCCAAAAUGGAGCAAAUGGCCACAAAAUGUCCUCAAAUGGCCCCAAAACCCACCCAAAUGGCACCAAAAUGGCCACAAAUGGCCCCAAAACCCACCCAAAUGGCCCCAAAAUGGCCACAAAUGGCUCCAAAAGGGACCCACCUGGCACUAAAAUGGCCACAACGGCACCAAAACUCCGCCAUGUGGCCCCAAAUGGCCCCAAAAUGGGCACAAAUGGACCAGAUGGCCCCAGAAUGGCACCAAAAUGGCCACAAAUGGCCCCAAAAUGGAGCCCACAUGGCCCCAAAACGGCCCCAAACCGCCCCAAAAGGGACCCAGAUGGCUCCAAAAUGGCCCCAAAUGGUGCCAAAAUGGAUCAAAUGGCCACAGAACAGCCCCAAAAUGGCCACAAAUGGCCCCAUGUGGACCCAAAAUGGCCACAAAUGGUCUCAAAACCCACCCAAAUGGCCCCCAAAUGGAGCCCAUGGUGCCAAAACCCCACCACGUGGCCCCACAUGGCUUCAAAAUGGCCCCAUGUGGCACCAAAAUGGACCAAAUGGCCCCAAAACCCACCCAAAUGGCCCCAAAAUGGAGCCCAUGGCACCAAAACCACCUCAAAUGGCCCCAAACUGGCCACAAAUGGGCACAAAUGGCCUCAAAACCACCUCAAAUGGCCCCAAACCCAGGGGUCACCAGGACCUUCUGGAGCUGAUGGAGCUCCUUGGGGGGUCCCCGGGGGGUCCCCGAUUGUCCCCAGGGGGUCACCAGGGUCCCAAGGGGUCCCCAAAGUCCCCCCAAGGUCCUGGGGGGUCCCCAAAGUCCCCCCAAGGUCCCCCCGAGGUUCUGAUGGGGCUUCAAGGGGUCACCAGGACCUUCUGGAGCUGAUGGAGCUUCCUGGGGGGUCCCCAGGGGGUCCCCAAGUCCCAGGGGGUCUCACAAGGGGGUCCCCAGUUGUCCCCAGGGGGUCCCCAAGGUUCUGA
rnacentral:lncRNA from 1 species